AUGGUGGUCCACGUCGUGUACAGGAGGCGGGAGAACAGCUGGAGGGGGGCCGACUCGUCUGUCAGGUUCCUGGGCGCCGCCAUGAGCAGCAACCCGCCGAGCAAGCACCAGGUCCGCCUCGCCGGCCGCGGCGGCAUCGGCUACGCCCCCACCUCCCCCGCGGGCGCGCGCAACGGAGGCCUCUCUCUGCGCGCCACCUCCCCGCCGCCGCCGACCGUCUCCAUCGCCUCCGUCGCUGGCUGGGAUUCUAUCAAGCUGCGGCUCGACGGCGAGGAGGGGCUGAAGGAGUUCUUGGCCGUCGGGACAGAGGAGGACGCAGCGGUUUACGCGAGCAAGUGGCCGGCUGGCGGGGAUGAGGUGACGUUCGACGCCCCGCCUACAGAUGAGGAGGUCCACGCCGCCGUCGCCAGCAUCCAGCAGGUAUUUGAGAAUCCUUCGGGUGUGGAAUCUGACGCACUCGAGUUACAAGCGCUCGCACUGCCCAUCGCAGGACUCUCUUCAUCUGGGAUGUUUGUUAACUAUUUCGCUGCCGAUUCUGAUGCGUCCGAGAAGCAAACCGUCCAAUUAGCCAACUUAGGGAAUUCUCCAUCCAACAUUGGAUUAGACGAUUGCACUGAAUCUGGCACACUUGCACUUAACUCAACUGCUCUUAUGACAAGGGAACAUCAAAAUGUACUGGAUGCAUUCCAGCUGUUGAAAGAAGAUGCCUCUGUUCAGAAAAUGGUUAUGGCCUUGUCAACUGAUAAAGCUGUAUGGGACGCUGUCAUGAACAAUGAGGUGGUGCAAGAAUUUAAGAAGUCCUUCCAGGAUGCUAAGGAAACUGAUAACAAGGGGAGGUCUAGUGCUCCUCCUGGAAUGAUGCAAUGGGUCUUGGAGAACACCCAGGCGAAGAUUAAGGAGUUCCUUGAGAAGAUACUUCAGCUCGUGCACACGCUCUUCCAGGCCCAGAGCAUGGACUACGAUUUGUCUGACGAUGUUGUGAGAAUGUCCUUCAUGCUCUCGGUGUUCGUCUUCAUCGUCGUAACAAUAGCUCGCAUAAAGUGA
rnacentral:rRNA from 1 species